CUUCCUCCCCGGGUACUGUCAUUAUUCAUCCCCGGUGACAGCAGUUUACGACCCGAAGGCCUUCAUCCUGCACGCGGCAUUGCUCCGUCAGGCUUUCGCCCAUUGCGGAAGAUUCUCGACUGCAGCCUCCCGUAGGAGUCUGGGSAGUUCUCAGUCCCAGUGUGGGUGACCAUCCUCUCAGACCACCUACCCGUCAUUGCCUUGGUGGGCCGUUACCUCACCAACUAGCUAAUGGGACGCGAGCACAUCCUCUAGCAGUAAACCUUUAUCCCACACCUCAUGCGAGAUGCUGGACACAUUCGGUAUUAGCCCUUCUUUCGAAAGGUUAUUCCCAACUAAAGGGUAGCUUACUCACGUGUUCCUCACCCUUGCGCCACUUGCGUAUUGCUACACACGUUCGACUUGCAUGCCUAAUCCAUGCCGCCAGCGUUCGUUCUGAGCCAUGAUCAAACUCUAAUCGAAUUCCCGCGGCCGCCAUGGCGGCCGGGAGCAUGCGACGUCGGGCCCAAUUCGCCCUAUAGUGAGUCGUAUUACAAUUCACUGGCC
rnacentral:rRNA from 1 species